rnacentral:tRNA from 1 species
GGGCCGGUAGCUCAGCGGUAGAGCAGCGGACUCAUAAUCCGUCGCGCCCUGGUUCGAAUCCAGGCCGGCCCAUCA